GACGAACGCUGGCGGCGUGCCUAAUACAUGCAAGUAGAACGCUGAGGAGAGGAGCUUGCUCUUCUUGGAUGAGUUGCGAACGGGUGAGUAACGCGUAGGUAACCUGCCUUGUAGCGGGGGAUAACUAUUGGAAACGAUAGCUAAUACCGCAUAACAAUGGAUGACACAUGUCAUUUAUUUGAAAGGGGCAAUUGCUCCACUACAAGAUGGACCUGCGUUGUAUUAGCUAGUAGGUGAGGUAAUGGCUCACCUAGGCGACGAUACAUAGCCGACCUGAGAGGGUGAUCGGCCACACUGGGACUGAGACACGGCCCAGACUCCUACGGGAGGCAGCAGUAGGGAAUCUUCGGCAAUAGGGGCAACCCUGACCGAGCAACGCCGCGUGAGUGAAGAAGGUUUUCGGAUCGUAAAGAUCUGUUGUAAGUCAAGAACGGGUGUGAGAGUGGAAAGUUCACACUGUGACGGUAGCUUACCAGAAAGGGACGGCUAACUACGUG
rnacentral:rRNA from 1 species